AGCGGCGUGAGUUGGUGGCUGCGGGACUUGACGGCAUGGCUCAUAUAUGUGCUUCCGACUAAUCCAGCUUCUUUUGGUCUAGCUGGGCAUUACUUUGAGUUCAUAUAUGUGCUUGUCACUCCAUAGGUUAUAGUGGUUCCCUCUGUUUCCAUAUAUGUUCUUGUAGUUUGGUUGCUUUCCUGUUCAUGCAUGUUUGUACAACUAUAUAUAGUUUUGCUGUGAAUCUGUCGUGCAUGUAUUGAAAUGCAGGAAAUGUUGAAUACAUGUUCACUCUCAGCUGGGAUAUUGAAUUGUACAUAGUUAUGUGAUUCAUGUCUGCUUCUUAUUUUAUUAAGUGAUUAUCUUUAUGUCCUUGCUACUAGUAGGAUGGUCAAUAGCUUGUUUUGUAGUUCUCUACUUUAUGCAAAUAGCUUCCUAUAGCAUUGUUCUACUAUCUGUGUGAUGCUGAACAAUAUGCUCUUAAUCUGUUGCUAUAUUCUCACCAAAUGCACAGUUUAUUUUCUUAGACCUACUGUUAAACAAAGUCUUAACUUGUAUCAUUUUUUCUUAACAAUAGGCAUAGAAUUCCUGACUCUUAUGUUAUAUGAUCAGCUUACUCCUGCUUCAACAACUGUACUAAUUCCUGACUGUUGUAUGUAAGGAGUAAAAUAGUUUAAUUGAGUGAUAUCCACUGGUUCACUAUCUUAGAGCACCUUUUUAGCAUUGUGGGCUGCUAAUAGUAUUUUAGACUUAUCAUAUCCUCUCUGGCGCGAUGGCAGGAGCGCAUGAUAGACUACUAAAUGGACAAGUAUCUGCAACGUUCAGCGUCAAAGAUGAUGCUUACCAGAUGUUCUACUGCAGCCCCAUCCAUAUCAUCGACAUGAAGUUAGGUAUCUACUCGUCCUAAAAUUGAUGGCCUGAAGCUCGAUGCAUGUAUAAUGUGACACACACAUCAGGAUAUCUGAAUAAUUUUUACAUGUUUGCUCUGUUAUCUAGUAGUAGGUUGAUACUUGUCAUUUGCCCUUUCCAAAUAUAUCUCAGUUUUGUUGUUAUGAGAAUGUUAUAUGCAUGGUUUCUUAUUA
rnacentral:lncRNA from 1 species